GUGCUUGCUUCAGCAGCACAUGUACUAAAAUUGGAACAGCAUAGAGAAGAUUGGCAUGGCCUCUGUGCAAGAAUGACAUGCAAAUUUGUGAAGCGUUCCAUAUUUUU
ensembl:snRNA U6 U6 spliceosomal RNA